CUAACUUCAGGAGCUCUCCCUCUUCAGCCUACCCAUCUCCUAUUCCUCUGGACCCUGCCUUCUCUCCCCUCCCUUCUCACCACUGGCCCUCACAGACCCCUCCUCACUCUCCUCUUCCAUCCCCUUGGACCUGUCCUCUGUGCUGCCUCCAUCCCCUAUACCUCCUGGGCCACUCCUCCCCGCCUCAGUAUACCUGGUCUUCUUGGAAAAUACCCCAGCUCUUGUGACCUCUACCAUAAUCCUUCACUUUGGGCCUUCUUGCCUAGUGAGAAAGCUGAGGAAGCUCCUCUCUCCACUCCUGCUGCCUGAUUUCCAAGACUCACAUUUUCCCCCUACACGCCCCAAGGCUGGGUGGCUGGGCAGCCGGAUGCCUGGGUCUUGGCCCAGGGAGGGGAUUUGGCUUGGGAGGAGAGUAUAUAGGCUAGAUGAGAGACCCUGAGGCUCCACAGGACCUUGGGGUUCCAGAGGCUGCACAUCUAAUCUCAGCAGGGUCAGUGUGCUGGUGGGAGCACCCAAGGCUAACACCAGCCAGCCAGGAGUGCUGCA
rnacentral:sRNA from 1 species